UGAGCAAUCUGCCCUUCUCUUUGGAAUAAGCGUUGGAAACGACGUCUAAUGCCGAAUACGACCUCCUUUCGCAUGAUCGGAGGUGGAAAGCUCCGGCGGAGAAGGAUGAGCUCGCGGCCUAUCAGCUAGUUGGUGUGGGUAAUGGCCCACCAAGGCGACGACGGGUAGCCGGCCUGAGAGGGUGACCGGCCACACUGGGACUGAGACACGGCCCAGACCUCCUA
rnacentral:rRNA from 1 species